UUGUCCCCUAAAUAGGGACUGGAAUGAACGGCUAAAUGAGGACAAAACUGUCUCUUACGGACUAGCCAAUGAAAUUGAUCCUCCAGUACAAAAGCUGGAAUAAACCCAUAAGACGAGAAGACCCUGUGGAGCUUUAAAACCAAAAUCACUAAACAUGCUUCUUGGAUUUUUAGUUGGGGCGACUUUGGAGCAAAAAAAACCCUCCAAAACAUAAAUUUAAUUAUUAAGACUAACACACCAAAAAAUUACACUACAGACCCAGCAGUAUUUUUUACUGUCUGACCAAUGAACCAAGUUACCCCAGGGAUAACAGCGCCAUCCUCUUCUAGAGUCCCUAUCGACAAGAGGGUUUACGACCUCGAUGUUGGAUCAGGACACC
rnacentral:rRNA from 1 species